AUGAUUACUGAAGACUCAACGGUGUACUGAGACACAAUGUCAGCAGAAAUAUAUACAAUAUAAUUCAGAAAUAUUUCACUUGUGGAUCGGGAUUCAGAGUUUUCCAAGAGGAGUCUAAGGAAAGGUUCACUCUCAUUUUCUUAGCCUAUACAGUUUUCACACUACAAGCAAACACAAAAAAGGAUGUUGUACAAAUGCGAGAGUCAACUGCAGAACAAGGAGGCAAAUCUACUGAACAAGAAAACCAAAGAAAAGAAAAAGAGACAAUGUGGGGAAACCACUGCUCUGGGUUUACAUUGCAAUAUUGUUAAUGCUUGGAGCCAGUGUAAUAUUUCACUGGAGAAAAAUAAUUCAGUGUGCUUUAUUCUCAAAAGAACCAGUAACAAUGAUAAAAAGGACAUAAACUUAAUUGCUCUUUAUUGUUUAUGUAUUCUUCAUUGAUUAUGUUUAGUGCAGAACACACUCUUUUGUGCUGUUGUAUUCUUGCCGGUUGCACUGCAUUGUUCUGAUUGUAUAACAUAAUGAGAUCUUAAAACAGUGAAAUUGUUUGCUAAAGGCCAAAUGAGCCAAUCAGUAUGUUGCUGCCUUUACAACAGUUCUGUACCACAAUUGUUGUGUUGUGUU